GAUGAACGCUGGCGGCGUGCCUAAUACAUGCAAGUCGAGCGAACAGAUGAGGAGCUUGCUCCUCUGACGUUAGCGGCGGACGGGUGAGUAACACGUGGAUAACCUACCUAUAAGACUGGGAUAACUUCGGGAAACCGGAGCUAAUACCGGAUAAUAUAUUGAACCGCAUGGUUCAAUAGUGGAAGACGGUUUUGCUGUCACUUAUAGAUGGAUCCGCGCCGCAUUAGCUAGUUGGUAAGGUAACGGCUUACCAAGGCAACGAUGCGUAGCCGACCUGAGAGGGUGAUCGGCCACACUGGAACUGAGACACGGUCCAGACUCCUACGGGAGGCAGCAGUAGGGAAUCUUCCGCAAUGGGCGAAAGCCUGACGGAGCAACGCCGCGUGAGUGAUGAAGGUCUUCGGAUCGUAAAACUCUGUUAUUAGGGAAGAACAAAUGUGUAAGUAACUAUGCACGUCUUGACGGUACCUAAUCAGAAAGCCACGGCUAACUACGUG
rnacentral:rRNA from 1 species